UACGUAGGGGGCAAGCGUUAUCCGGAUUUACUGGGUGUAAAGGGAGCGUAGACGGCAGAGCAAGUCUGAAGUGAAAGCCCGCGGCCCAACUGCGGGACUGCUUUGGAAACUGCCCGGCUAGAGUGCUGGAGAGGUAGGCGGAAUUCCUAGUGUAGCGGUGAAAUGCGUAGAUAUUAGGAGGAACACCAGUGGCGAAGGCGGCUUACUGGACAGUAACUGACGUUGAGGCUCGAAAGCGUGGGGAGCAAACAGG
rnacentral:rRNA from 1 species